rnacentral:lncRNA from 1 species
GGACCAUUGCACACCACACACACAAAUUGCCAUGCAUUUCAUCCUUAACCUAACCUGAUUUUCUAAGGUUUUUUGGGCCUAUAAAUACAUGUUUACACCCCUUGGCCAAAGGACAAUCCCCCAUAUUCAUCAUUUUAUCACAAAAAUUCGUCCAUACACACCCUAGGAAGCAAAACACCCCAAAACACCAUUCUAGUGCCUAGAAAACAUAAC